rnacentral:tRNA from 1 species
GGGCUUGUAGCUCAGUUGGUUAGAGCACACGCUUGAUAAGCGGUGGGGUCGGAGGUUCAAGUCCUCCCAGGCCCACCA